rnacentral:rRNA from 1 species
UGGGAGCACGCUUAGGCGUGUGACUGCGUACCUUUUGUAUAAUGGGUCAGCGACUUAUAUUCUGUAGCAAGGUUAACCGAAUAGGGGAGCCGAAGGGAAACCGAGUCUUAACUGGGCGUUAAGUUGCAGGGUAUAGACCCGAAACCCGGUGAUCUAGCCAUGGGCAGGUUGAAGGUUGGGUAACACUAACUGGAGGACCGAACCGACUAAUGUUGAAAAAUUAGCGGAUGACUUGUGGCUGGGGGUGAAAGGCCAAUCAAACCGGGAGAUAGCUGGUUCUCCCCGAAAGCUAUUUAGGUAGCGCCUCGUGAAUUCAUCUCCGGGGGUAGAGCACUGUUUCGGCAAGGGGGUCAUCCCGACUUACCAACCCGAUGCAAACUGCGAAUACCGGAGAAUGUUAUCACGGGAGACACACGGCGGGUGCUAACGUCCGUCGUGAAGAGGGAAACAACCCAGACCGCCAGCUAAGGUCCCAAAGUCAUGGUUAAGUGGGAAACGAUGUGGGAAGGCCCAGACAGCCAGGAUGUUGGCUUAGAAGCAGCCAUCAUUUAAAGAAAGCGUAAUAGCUCACUGGUCGAGUCGGCCUGCGCGGAAGAUGUAACGGGGCUAAACCAUGCACCGAAGCUGCGGCAGCGACGCUUAUGCGUUGUUGGGUAGGGGAGCGUUCUGUAAGCCUGCGAAGGUGUGCUGUGAGGCAUGCUGGAGGUAUCAGAAGUGCGAAUGCUGACAUAAGUAACGAUAAAGCGGGUGAAAAGCCCGCUCGCCGGAAGACCAAGGGUUCCUGUCCAACGUUAAUCGGGGCAGGGUGAGUCGACCCCUAAGGCGAGGCCGAAAGGCGUAGUCGAUGGGAAACAGGUUAAUAUUCCUGUACUUGGUGUUACUGCGAAGGGGGGACGGAGAAGGCUAUGUUGGCCGGGCGACGGUUGUCCCGGUUUAAGCGUGUAGGCUGGUUUUCCAGGCAAAUCCGGAAAAUCAAGGCUGAGGCGUGAUGACGAGGCACUACGGUGCUGAAGCAACAAAUGCCCUGCUUCCAGGAAAAGCCUCUAAGCAUCAGGUAACAUCAAAUCGUACCCCAAACCGACACAGGUGGUCAGGUAGAGAAUACCAAGGCGCUUGAGAGAACUCGGGUGAAGGAACUAGGCAAAAUGGUGCCGUAACUUCGGGAGAAGGCACGC